AUGGAUAAUCUAACAUUUGCAACAAAGGUCAGAUGUCUCCAGUCUGCUAUGAAUACAUUCCACGUAGGUUCUUCUAUCUCCUGUUCUGGCACAUUGAUGGGAAUGCCCUCUACCAUCCCACAGAUUAUGUACUGCUGCAGUAUAGCAAAUUUGACCAGAAGGAGAAGAAUUUUGUCCAUUGGCAGCAGUGACCAGAAGCAGAGAAUCUACAAAAUCAUAAAUGCCUCAGCUAAAUGUUCAGGGAGGCUAAAAGCACUUUAUACAGCUUCCCCUAAAACACAGGAUCAUUUGGAUACAGCAUUAAGAUUUUACACAUGA
rnacentral:lncRNA from 1 species